UCGGGAAUUUUGGGCAAUGGGCGAAAGCCUGACCCAGCAACGCCGCGUGAAGGAUGAAGUAUUUCGGUAUGUAAACUUCGUAAGAAUAGGAAGAAUAAAUGACGGUACUAUUUGUAAGGUCCGGCUAACUACGUGCCAGCAGCCGCGGUAAUACGUAGGGACCAAGCGUUGUUCGGAUUUACUGGGCGUAAAGGGCGCGUAGGCGGUGUGUCAAGUCAGUUGUGAAAUCUCCGAGCUUAACUCGGAACGGUCAACUGAUACUGUCACACUAGAGUACAGAAGGGGCAAUCGGAAUUCUUGGUGUAGCGGUGAAAUGCGUAGAUAUCAAGAGGAACACCUGAGGCGAAGGCGGGUUGCUGGGCUGAUACUGACGCUGAGGCGCGAAAGCUAGGGUAGCAAACGGGAUUAGAUACCCUGGUAGUCCCUGAGCGGGCUGGCAAGGCG
rnacentral:rRNA from 1 species